rnacentral:lncRNA from 1 species
CUAUGGUUCUGUGAUCUUUAAGGACCCUACCAACCCAUUCGGUGGUUCUGUGAUCUUCAAGGACCCUCCCAACCCGUUCUAUGGUUCUGUGAUCUUUAAGGACCCUCCCAACCCGUUCUAUGGUUCUGUGACCUUUAAGGACCCUACCAACCCAUUCGGUGGUUCUGUGGUCUUCAAGGACCCUCCCAACCCGUUCUAUGGUUCUGUGGUCUUCAAGGAUCCUCCCAACCCAUUCUAUGGUUCUGUGAUCUUUAAGGAUCCUCCCAACGCAUUCCAAGGUUCUGUGACCUUCAAGGACCCUCCCAAUCCAACCCAAUCUUUCCAUGGUUCUGUGAUCUUCAAGGACCCUCCCAACCCAAUUUUUCCAUGGUUUUGUGGUCUUCAAGGACCCUUCCAACCCCGUCUAUGGUUCUGUGGUCUUCAAGGACCCUUCCAACCCAUUCCAUGGUUCUGUGAUCUUUCAGGACCCUUCCAGCCCAACCAUUCCAUGGUUCUGUGACCUUUCAGGACCCUUCCAACCGAACCAUUCCUCAGUUCCAUGAUUUUCAAGGAUCCUUCCAACCCAACCAUUCCAUGGUUCUGUGAUCUUCCAGGACCCUUCCAACCCAACCCAGCUAUUCCAUGGCUCUGUGACCUUCAAGGACCCUUCCAACCCAACCAUUCCUUAGUUCCAUGACAUUCAAGGACCCUUCCAACCCAACCACUCCCUGUUUCUUUGACCUUUCAGGACCUUUCCAACCCAGGCAUUCCAUGGCUCAGUGCUCUUCCAGGACCCUUCCAACCCAACCAUUCCAUGUCUCAGUGACCUUCGAGGACCCUUCCAACCCAAGCACUCCCUGAUUCUUUGACCUUUAAGGACCCUUGCAGCCCAACCGAGCCAUUCCAUGGCUCAGUGUUCUUCCAGGACCCUUCCAACCCAAGCAUUCCCUGUUUUUUUGACCUUUCAGGACCCUUCCAACCCAACCACUCCAUGGCUCUCUGACCUUCAAGGACCCUUCCAACCCAACCAUUCCAUGGCUUUAUGACCUUCCAGGACCCUUCCAACCCAAUCCAACCAUUCCAUGGCUCUGUGCCCUUCCAGGACCCUUCCAACCUAGCCAUUCCAUGUCUCGGUGUUCUUCCAGGACCCUUCCAACCCAAUCUGACCAUUUCAUGGCUCUGUGCCCUUCCAGGACCCUUCCAACCCAAUCUGACUAUUCCAUGAUUUUAUGACCUUCCAGGACCCUUCCUACCCAACCCAGCCAUUCCAUGUCUCAGUGAUCUUCCAGGACCCUUCCAACCCAACCCAACCA